rnacentral:rRNA from 1 species
AUUGAACGCUAGCGGGGUGCCUUACACAUGCAAGUCGAACGGAGUGGCGAACGGGUGAGUGAUGUAUCGGAACGUGCCCAGUAGCGGUGGAUAAGUACGCGAAAGCGUAGCUAAUACCGCAUACUUUUGGAACGGCCGUUAGCGGAUUGGCUAGUGGGUGGGGGAACGGCUCACCAAGUCGACGAGCCGUAGCUGGUUUGAGAGGACGACCAGCCACACUGGGACUGAGACACGGCCCAGACUCCUGCGGGAGGCAGCAGGGGGGAAUGUUGGACAAUGGGGGAAACCCUGAUCCAGCCAUCCCGCGUGUGGGAUGAAGGCCUUCGGGUUGUAAAUCACUUUUGGCUGGAGAGCGGUACCUGCAGAAGAAGCACCGGCUAACUACGUGCCAGCAGCCGCGGUAAUUC